AAUCAACGCUGGCGGCGUGCCUAACACAUGCAAGUCGAGCGCGAAAGCGGGGCAACCCGCAAGUAGAGCGGCGAACGGGUGAGUAACGCGUGGGUGAUCUACCUCCGAGUGGGGAACAACAUCGGGAAACUGGUGCUAAUACCGCAUGACAUCCUCAGGUCACACUGAGGAUCAAAGCCGGGGACCGUAAGGCCUGGCGCUUGGAGAGGAGCCCGCGUCCGAUUAGCUAGUUGGCGGGGUAACGGCCCACCAAGGCGACGAUCGGUAGCCGGCCUGGGAGGGCGGACGGCCACACUGGGACUGCGACACGGCCCAGACUCCUACGGGAGGCAGCAGUGGGGAAUUUUUCGCAAUGGGCGAAAGCCUGACGCAGCGACGCCGCGUGGGGAUGAAGGUC
rnacentral:rRNA from 1 species